UACGUAGGGCGCAAGCGUUAUCCGGAAUUAUUGGGCGUAAAGAGCUCGUAGGCGGUUUGUCGCGUCUGCCGUGAAAGUCCGGGGCUCAACUCCGGAUCUGCGGUGGGUACGGGCAGACUAGAGUGAUGUAGGGGAGACUGGAAUUCCUGGUGUAGCGGUGAAAUGCGCAGAUAUCAGAGGAACACCGAUGGCGAAGGCAGGUCUCUGGGCAUUAACUGACGCUGAGGAGCGAAAGCAUGGGGAGCGAACAGG
rnacentral:rRNA from 1 species